AGUGAACGCUGGCGGCAGGCCUAACACAUGCAAGUCGAACGGCAGCACAGUGGAGCUUGCUCCAUGGGUGGCGAGUGGCGGACGGGUGAGGAAUACAUCGGAAUCUGCCCAGCCGUGGGGAUAACAUAGGGAAACUUAUGCUAAUACCGCAUACGACCUACGGGUGAAAGCGGGGAUCGCAAGACCUCGCGCGAUUGGAUGAGCCGAUGUCCGAUUAGCUAGUUGGCGGGGUAAUGGCCCACCAAGGCGACGAUCGGUAGCUGGUCUGAGAGGAUGAUCAGCCACACUGGAACUGAGACACGGUCCAGACUCCUACGGGAGGCAGCAGUGGGGAAUAUUGGACAAUGGGCGCAAGCCUGAUCCAGCCAUGCCGCGUGGGUGAAG
rnacentral:rRNA from 1 species